rnacentral:rRNA from 1 species
AUUGAACGCUGGCGGCAUGCCUUACACAUGCAAGUCGAACGGUAACAGGUCUUCGGAUGCUGACGAGUGGCGAACGGGUGAGUAAUACAUCGGAACGUGCCUAGCAGUGGGGGAUAACGAAGCGAAAGCUUUGCUAAUACCGCAUACGAUCCCAGGAUGAAAGCAGGGGACCGCACGGCCUUGCGCCCACGGAGCGGCCCAUGGCAGAUUAGCUAGUUGGUGAGGUAACGGCUCACCAAGGCGACGAUCUUUAACUGGUCUGAGAGGAUGAUCAGUCACACUGGAACAGGGACACGGUCCAGACUCCUACGGGAGGCAGCAGUAGGGAAUUUUGCACAAUGGAGGAAACUCUGAUGCAGCGACGCCGCGUGAGUGAUGAAGGCCUUCGGGUCGUAAACUGCUUUUGUACGGAGCGAAAAGGCUCUCUCUAAUACAGGGGGCUCAUGACGGUACCGUAAGAAUAAGCACCGGCUAACUACGUGCCAGCAGCCGCCGUAACAC